rnacentral:rRNA from 1 species
CUAAAAUUCUAGCCAAUUAACCCUAACUACCAAAAAACAAAACAAACCAUUUAAUUUAAUAGUAUGGGCGAUAGAAAUUUAUUAUGUGCAAUAAAAAAAGUACCGCAAGGGAAAGAUGAAAUAAAAAUGAAAUAAAUAAUAAAAACAAAGAAAAGAAAAGACUAAACCCUGUACCUUUUGCAUAAUGGUCUAGUAAGUCCAACCUAACAAAAAGAAAUAAAGUCAGCCGCCCCGAAACUAGACGAGCUACUCAAAAGCAGCAUUAACCAGAGCCAACCCGUCUCUGUGGCAAAAGAGUGGGAAGACUUUUAAGUAGAGGUGAAAAGCCUAACGAGCCUAGUGAUAGCUGGUUGCUUGAGAAAUGAAUAUUAGUUCAGCUUAAAGUACCUUUAAUUAAUAAAAAAUAAAAGUAGCACUUUAAAGUUAAUUAAUAGGGGUACAGCCCUAUUAAUAAAGGACACAACCUACAUAAUGAAUAAAGAUCAUAUUAAUAAAAGAAAUUAACCAUGUAGGCCUAAAAGCAGCCACCAUAAGAAAGCGUCAAAGCUCAACUUAACAAACCCCUUAUUAUACUAAUAAAAAAAUCUAAAUUCACAAAUAUAUCAAGCCUAUCUACUAGUAGAUGAGUUUAUACUAGAAUGAGUAACAAGAACAAAUUCUCUAUAUGCAAGCGUAAAUCAGAACGAAAAUAUCACUGAUAAUUAACAAUUUUAAAUACUAAACAACAAGAAAAUACAUUAAAACAAUUGUUAACCCAACACAGGAGCAUCAAAAAAGAUUUAAAGAUUAAAAAGGAACUCGGCAACCAAGAGCUCCGCCUGUUUACCAAAAACAUCGCCUCUUGCCCUCCAAGUAUAAGAGGUCCCGCCUGCCCAGUGAUUAAUUUUAACGGCCGCGGUAUAAUGACCGUGCAAAGGUAGCGUAAUCACUUGUCUUUUAAAUAAAGACCUGUAUGAAAGGCAAAACGAAAGCUCAACUGUCUCUUUAAUCUAAUCAGUGAAAUUAAUCUCUCCGUGCAGAAGCGAA